rnacentral:rRNA from 1 species
GAUGAACGCUGGCGGCGUGCUUAACACAUGCAAGUCGAACGAUGAAGCCCAGCUUGCUGGGUGGAUUAGUGGCGAACGGGUGAGUAACACGUGAGUAACCUGCCCUUAACUCUGGGAUAAGCCUGGGAAACUGGGUCUAAUACCGGAUAGGAGCGUCCACCGCAUGGUGGGUGUUGGAAAGAUUUAUCGGUUUUGGAUGGACUCGCGGCCUAUCAGCUUGUUGGUGAGGUAAUGGCUCACCAAGGCGACGACGGGUAACCGGCCUGAGAGGGUGACCGGCCACACUGGGACUGAGACACGGCCCAGACUCCUACGGGAGGCAGCAGUGGGGAAUAUUGCACAAUGGGCGCAAGCCUGAUGCAGCGACGCCGCGUGAGGGAUGACGGCCUUCGGGUUGUAAACCUCUUUCAGUAGGGAAGAAGCGAAAGUGACGGUACCUGCAGAAGAAGCACCGGCUAACUACGUG